UACGUAGGGUGCAAGCGUUGUCCGGAAUUAUUGGGCGUAAAGAGCUCGUAGGCGGUUUGUCGCGUCUGCUGUGAAAACUCAGGGCUUAACCCUGAGCCUGCAGUGGGUACGGGCAGACUAGAGUGUGGUAGGGGAGAUCGGAAUUCCUGGUGUAGCGGUGGAAUGCGCAGGAAUAUCAGGAGGAACACCGGUGGCGAAGGGCGGGAAUCUCCGUGG
rnacentral:rRNA from 1 species